rnacentral:lncRNA from 1 species
CUUUGUGCAGCAGCAGAUGUUGAUGCCCUAGAAGCACGGUGCGGAGCACAUCCUGGGAUCAAGGUGCCACGGACUGGAAAAUGCUGCUGUGGCGGAGUUCCUGUGUGAAGACAAAACUCCCAGUCGCCCAGAAAUGUGGAGGCAGAAGAGCAGUGACAAGGCAUUGUGUUCAACUUAAGAAAUGAACGCAUGAAGAAUAGCUUUGUUUGCAUUCUGGUAACUGCUGAGGCUUUGGCUGACGACAGCUUUCAGCUGCACCUGAACUAGGCUGGAUUUGUCUCCUGCUCUCCAUAGGUGUAUGGGAACUGUAUAAUCACAGCCUGACCCUCUGUUUCACCACCUGAGGCGAGUGCUGAGUCAGCUGCAGGGGCACAGGUGAUGGCAGUUUCACCUGAGUGACCGGAAGGGGUGGACCCUGGCUGCAGCCCUGCUAGACCCCAUGUAAGGGCUGACUCCCAAGGAGGAAGGAUCUCUACCUGGAGGUCACCCUUAGUGGAG